rnacentral:rRNA from 1 species
UAGGGAAUCUUCCGCAAUGGACGCAAGUCUGACGGAGCAACGCCGCGUGAGUGAAGAAGGAUUUCGGUUUGUAAAACACUGUUGUCAGAGAAGAACAGCGCAUAGAGUAACUGUUAUGCGUGUGACGGUACCUAACCAGAAAGCCACGGCUAACUACGUGCCAGCAGCCGCGGUAAUACGUAGGUGGCAAGCGUUGUUCGGAUUUACUGGGCGUAAAGCGAGCGCAGGCGGUCGAUUAAGUCUGAUGUGAAAGCCCCCGGCUCAACCGGGGAGGUUCAUUGGUGACUGGUUGGCUUGAGUGCUGAAGAGGCGAGUGGAAUUCCAUGUGUAGCUGUGAAAUGCGUAGAUAUGUGGAGGAACACCAAUGGCGAAGGCGGCUCUCUGGUCUGUAACUGACGCUGAGGCUCGAAAGCGUGGGUAGCAAACAGG